AUGAGUGAUCUAACACAAAGCGACAGCAUCGGCAAAGGAGAGCAGUGGAAAGCACGAGGAUAAUGGUCGUUAAGCACUGUGACGUCACCAAUGACGCUGUGUUAGGCAAGAAGGUCAGGAGCGGCCGGCGGCUGCCUCAGUGUGGGACUGACAGCCAUCAGACGUAGUUCCUUAGGCGGUGUCCCGCUUCUUACAUCAUUUGCAGCUACACCGGUCAUCAGGGUCUGGCUUGGCAAAGGGUCUUCAUUCUUGAGAAAUAACUUAGUGAACGGAGAACUAGUCAAGAGGAACGAAUCUUGUUCUGGCGUGAACAGCUGCAAGUCUCGGUGGAGGUGGUUGGACGGUGUUGAACACGGGGCGGCUGGCAACUUUGCAGGAAUAUCUGAAA